rnacentral:rRNA from 1 species
UAAGGAAUAUUGGUCAAUGGGCGGAAGCCUGAACCAGCCAUGCCGCGUGCAGGAAGACGGCCCUACGGGUUGUAAACUGCUUUUGUACGGGAAUAAACCUUGAUACGUGUAUCAAGCUGAAUGUACCGUAAGAAUAAGGAUCGGCUAACUCCGUGCCAGCAGCCGCGGUAAUACGGAGGAUCCGAGCGUUAUCCGGAUUUAUUGGGUUUAAAGGGUGCGUAGGCGGCCUUUUAAGUCAGGGGUGAAAGACGGCAGCUCAACUGUCGCAGUGCCUUUGAUACUGAAGAGCUUGAAUGCACUUGAAGUAGGCGGAAUGUGACAAGUAGCGGUGAAAUGCAUAGAUAUGUCACAGAACACCAAUUGCGAAGGCAGCUUACUAAAGUGUGAUUGACGCUGAGGCACGAAAGCGUGGGGAUCAAAC